GACUCCGCACAUGAACGGUGUGCGCAGGCGCUUUGGUUCCCCUUGGUUCCCCUGGCUGAGUCCGCGCCCUGGCGGAGUGAAUCCCUCGCUUCGCAGCAGUUUUAACAGCAAGGGACUGGGCCUUUUUCAUUUUAAUUUUUUGAGUCAGUGUCUCAUUCCAUCCAGGAUAGACUCGAACUCGAGAUAUUCCCUUCGCCACGUCCCGAGUUUUAGUUUCCUAGGCGCUACCCCUCUGGACUUGCCAGGCCCUUUCAUUUCCUGUCUUUUAUGUAAGGUGUUUCCAAAGCCAAGCAGAAAGUCGAGAAAUCCGUAGGUCCUCGUUACGGUCAGCUGGGGACUCAGAAGGACAACAGCACAGGGAUGGCAGGACAUCCUCCCUAUCUCAAGGACUCCUCUGGAAAGACGCUACAAUGUGGCGUUCCGGUAGCUCGCCGUGAUCGUAUAGUGGUUAGUACUCUGCGUUGUGGCCGCAGCAACCUCGGUUCGAAUCCGAGUCACGGCAUUGUGGAACAAUGGCACGGCAAGGACGCCUUUUUGGUGCCUCGUUGGUCACUUCCUGUUGGCGAAGUCGUUUGUAACGCCUGGUCUUUAAGUCUCAUCUAUCCCAAAGCUUGGUGUAUUGAGUCUGGAUUCACACUCAACUCUGACAGAUUAAGGACGAGUGUGCUGUCUCUGCUCCAUGCCUGCUGCCGAGGAUGUGAGCUCUCAGCUUCCUGCCUUUUCCAUCAUGCCUGCUUCUUGCUGCCGUGUCCUCCUGCCAGGAUGGUAUCUUCUGUUGGAAGCCUGAGGUCAAGGUACCAGCUGAUUAAGUUUCUGCUGACCAGCUCUGUUCCUGGCAUGCCGACUGUUACAUAGCACUCAUCCUGUCCUUAUAUGACAAAACAGAUUGGCACAUACCACUCAUCGCCGUGUCCUCACAUGACAAAGAGUGAACAAGAGGCCUAGGGUGAGCAAGCUGCCUGGUAUGCCUUCCCAGGAGGACACUAAUCUUAUCAGGACUGAGAUCUUUCAUCAUGUGAAGUCCCCUAGUUCAACAGCUCUGUCCCAUACCUGUGGCCCACAGGUAGCUCACAGGCAGCUGUUAUGGGGUACCUAAAGAGAAAAACUCCUAAGAGGGUGUUUGAGGAAGGCUUUGCUGGAACUGGGACAACUGUGAUUUGCCCUUAUCUGUAUAUCAGAGUCCUCUACACUUCUGAAGUACUGGAGGGCAUGUUUGUAACCUGUUUGGAGUUGUGACUCAGGGCAAAGACUAGUUAUCAGGACUCUAUGAAAGAUUCUACUCAAUAGCAGCUGGGCACAUGACUUCAUCUUUCAAAGCUCCAUUUUUGUAAAUAGGGAUUUGAAAAAUUAGAGACUGUUACUUUGGAGAAAUUCAGCAAGGUGACAUGUGAAUGAUUUUGGCCUUUGCUAAAAGACACCUUUCACCCUUUGCCAAGUCCUCUCGAUCCUAGUUAGUGUUCUGACAAAAGAGCCAAUCAGGACAAUUUGCUAAAUACAUUUUUUUUGCUGUU